GACCGGUAGCCAGUGGAGUGACCCCAGUGGAGGAGUGACGUGGGAGAAUUUGCGGUGAAAUUAUUAGCAUGCGUGUGUUUUGCGUGGAGCGUGUUUUCUGCCUGUGCUUCGGCAUAUCACACGUCUGUCGCCUACUACUUAUGUGUGCCGGUGCGAAAGGGUUCUGACCCAGCGGGCUAGUGACACCUUUACUCCCCCUGUGAAAGCCACUGAAGGAACAGUGUACUGGAUCUGUUCCACUCUGCUUUCAAGCAUCGCCAUGGACACUCUGCGUCUAUCUGCCGUGUGGUUAUGCCUGCUGGUUGGCGUGUGUCAUGCUGCAGCCCCAGGUAAGAGAGCCGUCAGUCACCAUGGUAACCCAUUCCGAUGUUGAGGGGCCCUGUACACCUGAGCUGGUCUGCAGUCACUGGGCUCACCAACAGACACCCUUCACUCUGCUCUGUCAACUUUGGACUUAUCCUGACAGCAGGAAACUUUUACUUCCGCUUCACUACUUGAAGCUUUCUGCUUUG